rnacentral:lncRNA from 1 species
GUUAGACGGAUUUCCAGUAAAAAGAUAAUUAAAAUAAGGUUAUUUCUUCUUUUAGGUAAUCUGGGCUACAGUAUUUUGACCAGACAGAGCUUUUAACUGCAGUGUCAUAUACAAGGAGAGGACUGCUGUACACUCCUUUGUCCAUCUGGAAAUAGAGGUUCAGAUCCAUUCGCUGCUUGCUGACACGUCUGUUCAGCCAUGUUGGUGUACUUCCUUCCUGGGAGAUGAAUCGGCACUAUGCUCCUCAAUAUUUCUGAAGUAG